UCUUGGGAGCAGGCCAAGAUGGGUGUGUGGGUGAGGGGAGCAAGGAUGGCUAGAUGCUUGACUUCUGUUUGUGGACUUGAGACUACUCCCUAGAAAAGAGGAAACUUCCAUUUCCCUAGUGGCCUAUCACUGAGGAAACCCAUUUCUUCAUCUUCAAAUUUCAUUAGGGUGAGAUUCUGGUCCUGUGGUUCCAGGCAUCACAGGCAGCUACCCUGCUGGGAUAGGAUGGAGUCUCUUCUGUCCUUUUUAUUACCAAAGUUCCUACUUCCAGAUUUGAAUAUGCAACUAAGUUUUGACUCAGAGAUUCAGAGAACUGAUUUAUUAUUUAUUCCUGUGAGUCAAAGGAAAUGCAAAAGAAAAAAGAAAAGAAGAAAGAAAGAAAAGCAAGCAAGGAAAAACACAGUAAAAGAAAGAAAGGGAAAAGCUGAGAGCAGGAAGACAAGAAGUAGCACUCGAUGGGGGCCCAGACUUCCUUCAGUUGACUCUGAUGGAAACCAACCACACCACUUUUGAGGACCCCUCCUGCAACACUGGCUAAAUUGAAACCACCCUGAACUAGGGCAGGGCAGCUGUGGAAUACAGAUCUGAGGUCAA